UACAGAGACUGCAAGCGUUAUUCGGAUUCACUGGGCGUAAAGGGUGCGCAGGCGGUUGGGUGUGUCAGAUGUGAAAUCCCGAGGCUUAACCUCGGAACCGCGUCUGAAACUACUCGACUAGAGUACUGGAGAGGGAAACGGAAUUCACGGUGUAGCAGUGAAAUGCGUAGAUAUCGUGAGGAACACCAGAGGCGAAGGCGGUUUCCUGGACAGUUACUGACGCUCAGGCACGAAAGCAUGGGGAGCAAAAGGG
rnacentral:rRNA from 1 species